rnacentral:rRNA from 1 species
AGUGAACGCUGGCGGUAGGCCUAACACAUGCAAGUCGAACGGCAGCACAGUAAGAGCUUGCUCUUACGGGUGGCGAGUGGCGGACGGGUGAGGAAUACAUCGGAAUCUACUUUUUCGUGGGGGAUAACGUAGGGAAACUUACGCUAAUACCGCAUACGACCUACGGGUGAAAGCAGGGGAUCUUCGGACCUUGCGCGAUUGAAUGAGCCGAUGUCGGAUUAGCUAGUUGGCGGGGUAAAGGCCCACCAAGGCGACGAUCCGUAGCUGGUCUGAGAGGAUGAUCAGCCACACUGGAACUGAGACACGGUCCAGACCCCUACGGGAGGCAGCAGUGGGGAAUAUUGGACAAUGGGCGCAAGCCUGAUCCAGCCAUACCGCGUGGGUGAAGAAGGCCUUCGGGUUGUAAAGCCCUUUUGUUGGGAAAGAAAAGCAGCAGGUUAAUACCCCGCCGUUCUGACGGUACCCAAAGAAUAAGCACCGGCUAACUUCGUG